AGUGAACGCUGGCGGCGUGCUUAACACAUGCAAGUCGAACGAGAACGGAUUAUAGCUUGCUAUAAUUGUCAGCUAAGUGGCGCACGGGUGAGUAAUGUAUAGAUAACCUGCCCUCUAGAAAGGAAUAACAGUUGGAAACGACUGCUAAUGCCCUAUAUGCCUUUAAUACAUAAGUAUGCAAGGGAAACGCUUUAGUGCUAGAGGAUGGGUCUGUAUGGUAUUAGUUAGUUGGUGAGGUAAUGGCUCACCAAGACAAUGACGCCUAACUGGUUUGAGAGGAUGAUCAGUCACACUGGAACUGAGACACGGUCCAGACUCCUACGGGAGGCAGCAGUGGGGAAUAUUGCACAAUGGACGAAAGUCUGAUGCAGCAACGCCGCGUGGAGGAUGACACAUUUCGGUGCGUAAACUCCUUUUAUAUAGGAAGAUAAUGACGGUACUAUAUGGAUAAGCACCGGCUAACUCCGUGCCAGCCGCCGCAGUAA
rnacentral:rRNA from 1 species